UCACGAAGUCUGUGCUACACUGAUCAAUUGACCCAGGCGACAGCUGGUCUCUCAUCUUCCCUGCCUGUGUCUCAUCCCUGGAAAGCAUAUGCUAAUAAACAAAAGAUGGUGGACCCAUUUUAACUCAAAUGGCAGAGGAAGAAGCAGAGACUCACUGAUUAAAUAAAUGCCUUAGCCAAGGCCACAGAGCUAAGUCAGCGCCAGGAUCUAAACCUUGCAAGUGAGCUUCUAAGAACUGUGAAAUUAAGCAACUGCGGUCUCCACCACAGUGUGAGCGACGGUUUGGUUACUGACCAACAUCUUUAACAGAUGAACUGUCUCCUUGGAGCAAGAUUUCCUUGGGAAACCUGUGAACAGCAAUUUGCCGGUACAGUAGUGUUUCCGAGUGCUCUUGCGGUGACGACCCUGGGAUGACGAGAGGCUCCAGAGAGUCCAGAUGCAGCUUUGCACGUGUGGUCUCCAGAGGAAGGAUGUUUGAAGAAGGGGAGACAUGCAGAUCUAAUGAAUUUCACCUGGCGGAAGAACCUCCUGAAGAGUAGGAGGACCUCUCCCUCCGGAGAGCACGCAGCAGUGUCCCUACUGCUUCAGCCUCCCAGGCAAAAGCCCAAUAGCAGGCACUCGCUCCAACCAAAACUCUGGAAGUGGAUGGAAAUUACAUUCUCCUACUUGUAUCUUCAAACCCAUCACCUCGUGCCCAGAGACGUGCUGCCGAUACCUUGCCGACAGGAAGAAGGGGCUGCGUCGGCGAUAACAGCUGCGCUCCUGCUCCCGACCCCUCCGUUUAUCUCCCGGUGCCACCUCCUGUGCCUGCCGUAGUCUUGCUGGGCAUGCUUUGAAAUGACAGCUCUGUCAAGCUUUCCGUGUGGUGAGGACAUCCAGACUGCCACGCUUGCCAAAUACAGAAACCGCACGCACCCAGCCCCCGAGUCACCUCGGCGCUGCCUUUCCUGCGGCCAAUGGCAAACGAAGACACGUGAGCCGGCUGCUGCUCGUUCUGGGGAGAGACACGCUUUCUAAAGAAGGAAAACUAUUUUGGAACUCCUGGAUGUGACAACCUUUCUUGUUCACACUCAGUAAACACAUUAGUUAGA